rnacentral:lncRNA from 1 species
CACACAUAGAGGAGCUGGAAGAAAGGGUCUGCGCAGUUGGCGGUUGCUUCUUCACAAAAACACAUACCUAUACAUACAAUACACACACAUAUACACAGAGAAAAUAGAGAGGCGUCUGGGAACGAGCCCUGCUUUGGAUCUCAUUUGCAAAUAUGGUUUACUGCACCAGCUUCGUUUCUUCAUUCAAGUUUGUGAGAUCGUCCUUCGAGUUUUAUUUUGGCGGAGUUUCGAGGUUCCGAUGAGGUCGCCGAUGAGGUUCCGUUCAACGUCCAAUUUGUCCGAUCUGAGAUCCUUGUUGAUUCGAACCAUCGCACAACCUAAAUAUUCAGCAAGAAAGGUGUUUCCUCCAUCUAAAUACUCCAGAUGCAGUAUUAUGUUUGUUCCAGUGAUUUUAUUCAAAUUGAAUGCCCGUUUGUUCUUUUUUUAUUUAGCCUCUUUGAUGUUUUUCCUUGUUUUGAAUAAUUUGUUCAUUUGCACUUUAUUUUUGAGUGCUUAAACUACGAAUUUUGCCGAACUUUUCAGUAGAUUUGAUUUCCUACAUGAAUUUUUGCUCAUGGUUGAUUGGUUCUAAGUUAAAAAAAUGGAGUGAAUUAGCUUUUUCUCUGUCCAUACUUAGUUUCAUGUUAUGUUUAAUAUCAUUAUGAUUUAGCAUGUUAUAAUUUAUGUAAUAUUUUACUGUGAGUUAAUAAAUGAAUUAAUGAAACACUAGAUUUUGUUUGAAUUGGAUUGAAUUAAGUUUGUUUGGUAAGGACUUUCAGUAGGUUUGAAAUUGGCGUGAUUUUGGAUUUAGAUUAGAGUAUUUUUGUCUUAUUAGAUGGGGUUCGCACUUUUCAGUGCAUCAAUUUAGCAAUUUACUUCAGGCCCGUAACUUAAGAUUCAUGAUUAUGGAUACAGUUCUCGUCGUGUAGUUGUAAUAUUAAAUUUUAAAUUAGUUUUAAAUAUAUAUAUCCGUAGUUUUUAGUUGAGUUCUUUUCCUUUAAUAGAAUUCGAGGUGUGCCAUUUAGCGAAUUCCAUGGCCCUCGCAAUCUUGCAAACGCAUAUUUAUUUUAGGCGCGCUAGUUAAAGAAUUCACUUUCCUAAAUACGGGUGCACAUUUAUGUGACACAAAUCCAAAUCUUAACGAAGUUGGAAUGUGUCAAAAUCCACGUGUGCAUUUAUGUGACGUGGUUCGAGGCAUGUUUUAACAACGUUGCAAUUCUCUUUAAAAUAAUGAUAAAACCGGUUUAAGGUUAGAAAGCACAUAAGCUAAAACAUGUUCUAAAAUCAGGUAAUUUAAGCCAAAUAUAACAGUUGAGCGACCGUGCUAGAACCACGGAACCGGGAAUGCCUAACACCUUCUCCCAGGUUAAUAGAAUUCCUUAGCAGGAGUUCUGAUUCGCAGACUGUUAAACAUAGUCAUUCUUUCGUAGAUUCGGGAUUCUAACCGGUGACUUGGGACACCAUAUAUAUCCCAAGUGGCGACUCUGAAAUUCUUUUAAAUAAUUGAAUCCCAUUUCGAUUGUCCUUAAAUUGGAAAAGCUCCCUUAUCUACGCCCUUCGCCGGGUUGUAGUAGCAAAAAGGAGGUGUGACAGCUCUGGCGACUUUGCUGGGGAAGGUGGACCCAGAAUCUCUGGUUUAGGGUUCAAGAAUUCGAGCUUACAGUAACUGUUAUAUUUGACUUCUUCUGGUUUGCUUACUUGCUCUGUGCUAAAUGCUGCAUGUUUUACCGCUUUGAUAUUACCAGAACUGUAUAUAUAAACUGCUUCACUUGUCACCUCCGGGGAUGUGCUUACUGGUUGAGACUCCCUAUUCUCUUAGUGUCGUACCCUGAAAUAAGAAAGAGGCCGGACAAGUUACAAAGCCGGACGAUCUCGCGGGUCCCAGGUACGUAGCCCCCUCCUCGACUCGAGCUGUCCGCUCGGGUAUACAGUCUAGAACAAAUACCCAGGCUUAAACUUAGAAUAACAAAACCUCAUGCUGGAUCCCUAGUAAGAACACUUAUCUGCAUCAUGCUUAGGGGACUCAACACAGGGGUUGGGCCCAUCUAGGACAGGUGUACCCAAAAUAACAGAUCAUCCGUAUAGAUCCUAAUGUGAUACAUGUUGCAUUUCUCCAAGGAUAAAAGGGUCAUUUGGCGGACCAAGGAUAGCUGAGGGUAAAUGAAAAAUUGAAAAAAAAGAAGAAGAGAAAAACAAUGAAAAGAAAAGAGGUGAAGUGUGAAAAUAAAGCAAGUAGGAUUUAGUUAUGUUUUGUUAUAUUUUUAUUAGAAAAGAGACACGGGAUAUGGGAAAAAUUCAAAAAAAAAAUAAUUAACACUUUUUAUUCAAAAAAAAAAAAAAAAAAGGGAAAAUCCAAAAUAGUUUACGUAUUUCAUCAUUUUUUUUUUCAAAAAGAGAAAAAUUUUUUUAAAAAAAAAAAAAAAAAAGUGAAAAUCCAAAAUAGUUUACGUAUUUCAUCAUUUUGUUUUUCAAAAAGAGACAAAAGAAAAUGUUUUCUUUAAAAAUUAGAUGUUGUUUUUUAUUUUCUGCCCGUAUCCAAUUAGCCCGAAUUACGCGAACUUGAUUCUCGUCUUUCGAGACGUGAUACGUAGGCAACAAACAUAUGGUUUGAUUGUCCUUGUAAUUUUUAGAUUCUUGGCUUUGCGGGGUUAUAGCCAGACUUUGCACUUCUAGCUACUUUUAGCCAUAUAGGUUGGUUUUAGAAUUCAGAAGUUGCUUGUUGGAAAUUGUGUGAAUUGAGUUAUGUCAAUGGACUCUACUAUUGAAAUUCUUAGAGUUCAAGUUUGAAUUCUCUUAUCAAACUUCUUUAUGAUGGUGAAAGUUCUAUUGAGAUCAGUCUUUGUUUGUUGGGGCGUUAUUUUGUGAUUUUAACGAGUUCAAGUUGAAAUUCUCUUGUCAAACUUUUUUCAUGCUCGUGAAAGUUCUACUGACAUCAGUCUUUGUUUGUUGGGGCGCUGUUUUGUGAUUUUAAUUCAAUCAAUGAGUUGUUGGUGGGGCCAUGUCCGUAUGUAAAUCAUGCAUUGUACACCAGUUAUCUUUGUGCUAUGACUGCGGAGUUUUGAAGCUUGUCUUGUUGAAUUUUACCACUUUUGUGAAGUUUUUGGAGUAAAUUGAUAGUUGAAAUUCUCCUAGUUUGAACUUGUUAUCAUUGGCUUUUAAUAGUUGUUGUUAUUGUUGAGUUUAAUAGAGGGGAUUCAGUUGGACUAAAGUUUGAUCAUGCUUGACUUGUUAUUUGGUUGAGCAUACAUUCAGCUUACUCUGCUGAAAUUUUAUGUCCAUUGAGAUUUAUGCACGAGUUUAGCAGCGACAGUUUGAAAUAUGGUUUUUACUUCUAAAAAGUUCUCUUUGUUGAAUUAAUUGCUUUUGUUUAAUAAAUAUUGUGGUUACUCUGACUCAAUAUUGAUGUGAUUCUAAUGUUUUAUUUAUACAGUUGAGGUCGUCAUUUUGUGCUGAAAAAUUCUGUACCUAUUGCUGCUAAAUUUAAUGCUCAAGGUGUUGCUGAAGUUUGAGUUUUGAGAAGCAAUUGAAUAGCGAACCUGCCAGCUUAUUUGAAUUCUAGAAUUUUGCAUUUAAAUGAAAGUUGUUGAUGUAGUACAAGUUUUCUAAGCAUUAUUUGCAUUUUUUACAACAUUUUGUAAAAAUGAAACUGGAGCGGAGAUUAGAACUUGUUUGAAGAAUUUUGAACUCAAAUAAGAGUGUUUUGGACUGUUAUUGAAGGUUNNNNNNNNNNNNNNNNNNNNNNNNNNNNNNNNNNNNNNNNNNNNNNNNNNNNNNNNNNNNNNNNNNNNNNNNNNNNAGCUAAGAGUGUUUUGGACUGUUAUUGAAGGUUGUUGAAACAACCUUGGAAAUGUUUCACUUUUUGCACUAGUUGUGUAGUGAGUGCAAGUUGAUAUUUCUGCACAUUUGAGUUCAGUUGAUUACAAGUAUUUUGGGUCUGUUAACAGGAAAUUACAAGCUGACAAAUAUUGCUUAAAGUUUUUUUUUUGUAGUAUAGUGAUUUUUUUUGUUACAAGUAGUAUAGUGAUUUUUUUUAGUGUAGGCUUUAGGGAAUACUUAGUAAUGGUUGUAGUUAAGUUUUUUUUUAAUAUAAUUAUUUUAUAUAUAUAUAUAUAUAUAUAUAUAUAUAUAUAUUUGCUAUCUUUUGCUUUUUCAGUUGUAGGUUUUAGGGAAUACUUAGUAAUGGUAGUAGUUAAGUUUUUAAAAAAAAUAUAGUUAUUAUAUUUUUUUUGGCUAACUUUUGCUAUUUUCAUUUAGCAGCAUUUAGUUUUUAGUUUUUAUUACUUUGGAUCAUCCUUAAAGCAAAUUAAAAAAAAUGAUGAAAAGAAGAAGAGAAAGCAGAAAGUAGAGAAUGAAAAGAAAAAGUUUUCUUGGGUCACUACUUUUUGGGUGAUUUGUUGAGGUUUGCAAUAUUUAUGAAAAUUGCUUGAAGUGCAUUGAGGCUGCAACUUUCCCAGUUAUUGUGGGGAUGUCCAGAAUUGCAGAAUUGACUAGUUUUUGCGUGUGUGCCAUCUUUUGUAAAUAUUUUGGCCGUCGAUUUUGAUGGUAUUGAAAUGGUUUCAAGUUGAUUUAAAAUAAAAAAGUUUUUUUUAUCUCUUAGAACCUUCAUGGUUUGAGUUGUAUAAAAACAAAAAAUGAGUUAGUUCAUUCGCUCCAUUUUUUUUUCUUCCAGAACUAAGCAAAGAUCUUAUUCAUACGGGGUCAUGAUACGUUGGUAACAUACGUAGGGUUCGAUCGAAUCAUUUCAUUUUAUAAAAAAAAAAAGAUAAAAUCCAAAAAAGAGAAAAGGAAAAAAAGAGAAAAAUGGUGUAAUUAUGGGACAAGGAGAGAAAGAGUGAUAAAUAGAAAAAGAGGAAGGAAAAUGAUCAAGAAAGUGCCAGAAAAACAAAGAAAGAGUGAUGAUGAAAUGAACAAAUUGGGAUGAUGCCAUAUGACCUUCAUACCCUUGAAGUCAUGUUAGAACUGGUAACUGUGACUAGGUGCAUUGCACGCAAUGUGAUAUUUUAGAUGAUUAAUGCCCUAACACUAACAUGAUGGCUUCCUUUUGUCAUACUCAUAGCAAAAGGGUGGUUGGUUUGUAGUUUUUAGAGUAGUAACUCUCCUCUACAACACAAAGUCAAAGGCAUUGGUGGACAACAAUAGAUUGAGUUGGCCAACACCGAGGCCCGAAAACAAUUGGUUGACCAAAAUAGUGGGUUAAUUGAAGAGGUACAAAGGUUGAGACAACACAUGGCAUAAAUGUAUCAGGCUUGGAUGACCGGGACAUCACCACCCCAGCCACCACCCAAUUGCUUGGAUGUUACCCUUCUCCAAACUCCGAUCAUGGUUUCGAACGAUCCUCGAUACUUUCCAGAUGUACCUGCUUAUUACAGUUUUCCCAACCACCCAAUAGCUCCGUCACUUGCCCUCCAACCAUCCCGAACAAUGAAUAUGUACUCAGAGCUCAUGAUAUACAAUACUAUCCCGCAGAGGUGGCCCACAAGGUUUCUAACUCGUACAAGUAGAGCCUGCAGGAUGAGCCUCGUGUUGAGAAUGAAAAGUUCACAUAGAAAGAAGGGUGGAAUGGAAUACCCGAAGGCCGGCAGGCACAAGCCAGUCCUUGAAGAACAAGCAAGGGAUGUGGAACAAGGGUAAUAUGUCUUAAGAAGAACUGUUUGUAUCUUACGUUCGCCUACCCCCAGGGUUCAAAGUGCCAAAAUUUAACUUGUACGAUGGGUGGGGAGACCCCGUAGCUCACCUGAGGGUUUAUUUCAGUGAAGUGAGAGGCGUUGGAGAGAAAGAUGACCUGUUGAUAGCAUAUUUCAGCAAGAGCCUAACUGGGGCAGCUUUGAAUUGGUAUACUCGUCAAGAUAUCGGUAAAUGGCCUACAUUAGGUGACAUGGCUCAAGACUUUAUUCGAUACUUUCAAUGCAAAUCCAGUGUUACCCUAGACCGCUCUUCCCUAUCUAAAAUGAAAAAGAAGCCAGAGGAAUGUUUUAGGGAUUUUGGGCUCAGGUGGAGAGCACAAGCAACUCGAGUUAGUAACCCGAUUGGUGAAAAGGAAAUUGUUGAGAUUUUCCUACAAGCCCAGGAGCCCACCUACUUCGGUUCUUCGAUCCCGGCUUUUGGAAGAUCUUUUAAUGAUGUGUUAAAAAUGGGGGAGAAAAAGGAAGAGGGAAUCAAGUCAGGGGCCUUGCCUUUUUAAAUGAAAGGCUACAUUCGAUUCUGACAACGGGUAAAGCUACUGCCCAGCCCUACCUUUAUGCAGGAAUUGACCAAAUAAGGAAGAUUGUGACCCCCAACGAAAAAGGAAUGGCAUUUUCGGGGAAUAGCCCGCUUAAAUAAACUAGAUUGAAGACUACCUUUAUGCAGUAAUUGAGCCAAAUCAUGAGUGGUUUGAAAGAUAUUCAGAACAUCCAAGUAAGCUUCGGCGGAAGAAAGAGAAAGAUGAUCAGCAUUUCCAGCCUCGACAUCGUCCUCGUGGAUAUCAUUACGUACCAGAUAAUCCUCCCUACCGUUACUUCUCUCUACAGAACUGAAAAUAUCGUACAUUACUUUCCCCAUAACCAGCUCCACAGAAUUCUUAUCCACCCCCAUGAGCAUCCAAAAACCUCCUGGGUUAGGUUUCCAGCCCAGCAAAGCAUGUAAGAAUGAGAGGCUACUGAAAAAAAAGGAUUUCACCCUUAUCGGAGUAUCAUAUGCCAGUUUGUUCCAAAGGUUGAAGCAGUUGGACGUGUUGAAGCCGAUUCAGAUAAAAAUGCCAAACCCUCUGUCAAAGAAUUUUGAUGUUCCUAAAAGGUGCACAUAUUGCUUAGAUGCCCCGGGGCAUGAUACAGAGAAGCGUUGGAGUUUAAAAAAAGCAAUUUAGAAGCUUAUUGAUGAAGGUGACAUUGUCGUGCAAAAUCUCGAUGCAACAGACACUAGCCAAAUUCCAUUGUUUGUGCAUAAGGAGAUGCACAUGUGGGAAUGUGAGAAUUCUUCUGGGAGCCUCGGAGGCACGAGUGCUGUUAAGCUUUUAACACUAUCAGAAGUUGAUCUUCAGAAAGAUUUGGUGAAAGGAACCCAAAAGUGAUCUAUUAAGAACAAUAUGACAAAGGUUUGUGAAGUGCCUAGUGUUAUUAAUGUGGAACCCAGUGGCUAAUAUGUUGUGAUGGGUAAUUGGGAAGACACUCAAUUUCUUGGUCAGCCAGAGAGGAGUUUUGGUGGUUUUUUUGUUGUCAUUUCUGUUAUCCGGGUUAUUUCAUGGUUGUAAUCCGGAGAUUGUCUCGUGAUUCAAACCCUUUUAUCCUUUUAUUUUUCCUAGCUUUUUCAGUGUCGUCUAGGUUUGUUCUAGGGUUUUAACCCCAGCCUUUUUACUUGUUUUGUUGUCCAAGUUCUUUCACUAUCAGUCUAAUGCAAUUUUCUACUUUCCCUUAUUUCUAGUCAUUUGGUUUAGUUUUCUUUUCUUUUCAGAAUUCUUUUCCCUGUUGGAUUCAAUGACAUGACAUGCAUCCAAAACCCCAGGCAUGGUCUUAAAAUAUUACUCAUAAGGCAAUAGAGACACUUGAGGGAAACAAGAAUAGGUAUGGACUCUUUGAGACCAUUUGAAGCCCGAACCACGGGCAGAUAGAACAUGAAGAAAUUCUAAAAAGCAAGUUUACCAAACUGGCAGGGACCAAUUGUAGUAGCAGGAGUGUUGUCCAAUGGUGCAUUAUAUUUGGCAGAUGAGGAAGGGAAAUGUGUAGAAACGGCUAUCAAUUCUGACGUAGUCAUGAUAUACUAUGUAUGAUUCCGUUUAGUGGUUGUACUUGUUUGUCUUGGCAUAUUUUGAACACUGGAAUGACGAAGACAUUUUAUUCUGCUAUCUAAACACUUAUCCUUUGCUAACCCUUUUGAGCAUUAAUUAUUUUCUUUCAUACCCUUUUUUCGAAAUCAGUAACAAAAGUCGAAAAUGCAAGCGUGAGAAGGUACUGAAACGAAAAGAAUGCAAAGAAUGAAAAAAUGAAAACAAAAGAUAAGAAAAAGAAAAGAAAAACAAGAAAAGAAAGAGAAAAGAGAAAAAAGAAAAGGAAAAAGAAAAGAGAAAUAAAACAAAACAAAGAAAAGAAAAGGAAGAAAAGAAAAACAAAAAGAGAAAAAAGGGGAGAAGAAAAACAACAACAAAAACAAGGAAUCGAUAUUGAACUACGUUUGACCUGAUUCCUUUUAAGGAUACGUAGGCAGCCUCAUGGUUCGGUCUCAUUAAAAUAAAAAUCCAAAAGUCCCCAAGCAAGAAACUGUGGCAGUUGUUGUGGUUGUUGUAAGAAAUCUGAUUCCGAAAGUUGUAGUUUUUAAACCCAUGUGAAUUUUUUUGAGCCUUUGAUACCCUUUAUUUCUAACCCUAUCCAAAAGACCACGUUAUGGUCCAAAGAAGACCUUCUGAUCAGUCUUCAAGAGAUGCCAAGUUGAGCAAGUAGAGGUGAUUCAUGUCAGAGGCAACACUCUGGUCCAAGCAGGAAAGAUAAUAAAAAAAUUAGAGAGUCUUAUUUGUGAAAACCCUCACGGGCACCGUAAGGCGACAGCGAAACACUCCGGCCAAGCAGGAUAGAUAAUAAAUGAGAGAUUUUUAUUUGUAAAAACCCUCACGGGCACCGUAAGGCGAUGGGAGCUGAAAAAAAUAAAAAUAAUGAGAGAGUCUAAUUGGUGAAAACCCUCAUGGGCACCUUAUGGCGAUUGUAAGUUGAGAGAAAGAACACAGUAAGAGAGGCUUGAUGGCGAAAACCUUUUAGGCGCUACAAGUCAAAUAAGGAUAGAAAAUCAGAUUGGAUAAUCAGAGCAUCGAAGCCCAGCUUCACGGUCUGGGAGUAUAACAAGAGUUGAACAUCAGAUUUGCUUAACAGAAUGGGCCGCAGGUGCAUGUCAUGGUCAUUAGAGUUGGUACACACAUAUUAUUGGUUUCUACUUUUAGGUUUUGUUAGGAAUUAUCUCCUUUGUUCCUUUUAUCUUGUUUAUUCCCUCCUCUUUAGUUUAUUGGUUUCUACUUUUUAGGUUUUGUUAGGAAUCAUCUCCUUUGUUCCGUUUGUCUUGUUUAUUCUCUCCUAUUGAGUUUGUCAAAACAAGUGAGAAAUGACUUCAAAAUCUGCCACCAGCUUUCCAAUUGCACAAAAGGGGACCUGUAUGUCACAUCAAAGCAGCAUAAGUCAGGAAAUAACAACAAGCACACUGAGAUGGUAAAAAUCAACACGCUUCAGGAUUUGUUUGAAAUACAAACUCUUGGAAUAUAGCAAUUCAUGGACAAUGCAAAAGAAUGAGGGCUAGGGUGAAUGGAUAAAAAAUGUUCCACGAAGAAAUCAAAGUUAUCAUGGCUAGACAUAGAGCAUGUAGACCUCAAGGUCAGAGCCAGUGAUUUGGGUCAGGAAAGAACAUCAUAUACAACGUGGUUGGUAAAUACGCUUUCGGGAUCAUAUACAACGUGACGGAAGGUAUUGGUUUCGAAGGAGAAGAUGUAUUUUCUGGGUUAAGGUUUACAAAGGAAGCAGUUAAUCAAGGGGCAAAUCGGGUCUUCAAAUGAAAAUCAAUCAUCACGACAAGUGAAUGGGCAACUGACCUCAAGGUCAAGGCUAGUUGUUUAAGUUAAUAAAAACAGCAUACACAUGAAAUGUGGGGCGAUGGACGUGCUUUGGGGGUCAUGUGAAACACAAAGAAUGGGAGUAUGUCAGCUCAUAAGUAAUGCAACGAAUAGAGAAUACGGGGUCUAAAUGGAGAAAGGGUAUUUUCUGCGAUAAGGGUGACAGAGAAAUUGGUCAGACAAUAAGCAAGCAAUGUCUUUCAAGGUGAAAUGAAAGUUACCGUGGCAAGUGAAGGACCACAACACAAAGAUGGGAAAGGCCACAAAGGUUAGCCAAGCAUAGUAAAAUGACUCAGCAAUCAUAGGAAAUAUGUACAAAGAUGGAGGAGUAGAGUAAAGCCACAAGGGUCAGAGGGUCAGCCAAGCAUAAUAUAUUGACUUAAUAAUCUCGGGAAAGGUGUAAGAAUUUUGGCAAAGGAUCAUAAAUGUAACGCCAACAUGAGAAACAAAACAAAACCACAAGGAUCAAGGGACCAGCCAAGCAUAACCUCAUAACUCGUCAAUCGUCGAAAAAAAAGAAGUAUAAAAGAAUUCAAGAGAAGGGUCGGAGGUGCAACACGAAGUAGGGAGUGACACCGUGACAAAUUAGUUGAUUCCGGGAAAUGUGCAAGGUUUCCACCAAAGGAAUGAAAGGGUAACACAAAAAUAAAGAAAGGGCGAAACUACAAGGAAGGGAGGUUUUACCAAAGCAUGGUACAUCAACACAUCAAUCAUGGGGGAAGGACACAUAGACUCUAGCAAAAGGGCUAGAAAUGUAACAAUAAUGGGAAGCAAGGUAAAUCCAUAAAGGUUCGAGGGGUCAGCCAAUCAACUCACGAAACUCAUCAUCAACAUUGAAAUAUGAACACAACAGAACAUGACAAUGAGGAGGCCGCUUCCAACAAGAAUGUCGCGAGCCAACCACCACUUUUCAAACUGACAAGUUUUCUUUGAUUAACACAAGGGCAGGAAAAUUUCAGAAGGUCCUAAAGGGGGCCACCCACAGAGAAGGCAGGCACAUGGCAGGUAUCAUCAAAAUCUCAGAAUCCAUCUAGACGUGGCACUCAAUUAAAAUUCCAAAGGGACAUAGUCCGUUAUAAACAACCUCCCCAGCAAAGAGCACAAUGGGACAAACUUUAACUGGCAAACCAAGUAGAAGCAACCGAGGGUUAAAAGAGGCAUGAAUGUUGAGAUGAAAUGCAGUUUAAAACGCAAACAGGUGUGGGUAACAUGGGCAAGCACCAACACCUCCCCAGUAAGAGUCGCAAAAACAACCAGAAAUUAGAAUUGGCAUUUAAGUUGGAACCUUCAGGACCCUCCUAAAAAAUGGGAAUUAGAGCCAAAAUCUCCCCAGCCAAAGCCAAGAAGAGUCAAUGGAGUCAUCAGUAUCCUCCUAAAAAAGGGUACAUAGAGAAAAUAUUGCCCCAGCUAGAGUCGAUAAGAGUCAAGAAAAUUCAUCAUGACCCUCCUGAAGAAUUGGAUUAAGAGGGAAAAUUUCAAAUCUCCCCAGCUGAGUCAGCAAGAGUUACCAGGAUUUCCCUGAAAGAUGGGACUUAGAUAUUUCCCCAACCAGAGUCAAUAAAAGUCAUCAGGACCCUCCUGAAAAAUGGGGCUUAGAGCAGAUAUUUCCCCACCAAGAGUCAGUAAAAGUCAUCAAACUUAGAUAUUUCCCCGACCAAAAUUAGUAAAAGUCAUCAGGACCCUCCUGAAAAAUGGUACUUAGAGCAGAUAUUUCCCCAACAAGAGUCAAUAAAGCUCAUCAGGACCCUCCUGCAAAAUGGGACUUAGAUUAGAUACUUUCCCAGCAAGAGUCAACAAGAGUUGUCAGGAUCUCCCGAAUAAUGGGAUGUAGCCCUAAAUACUAACCCCCAGUUGUCACCUUUUGUCAUCAAAUCAAGAGUUGUCAGGACCUGCCAGGAUAAUGAAAAAUAAUUUGAAUCACCAAUCCCCAGCAAAUCCCCAGUGGACAUAACUUGUAGUAAGACAUGGUGGAAAAUAAUACCUUUUUAGUAAAUACAGCAUAAUUUUGAAAUUCGGUAGUUUUAGUCACCAAUCCUUAGCAGAUCCCUAGCGGAUAUAACUCAUAGCAAGACAUGGUGGAAAAUAAUACCUUUUCAUAAAUAAACCAAAAUCUUGAAAUUGUUAGAAGUUGAGGAUUUUCGGGACCGGUUUUUGUAAUAAGGCGCCCACCUGGAGAACAAGGGAAUAUUUUUCAAAAUUUCAAGUUUUUGUUAUCAGGCGCCCACCUGGAGAACAAGGGAAUAUUUUUCAAAAUUUCAAGUUUUAGCAAUCAGGCACUCACCUGUAGAACAAGGGAAUAUUUUUUUACGUUUUAGCAUUUAGGCGCCCACCUGGAGAAAAAGAGAAUAUUUUUUGAAAUAUUAAGUUUUUGUAAUCAGGCGGCCACUUGGAGAACAAGGGAAUAUUUUUAAAAUUUUCAAGUUUUAUAAUCAGGCGCCCACCUGUAGAACAAGAGAAUAUUGUUUUAAGUUUUAGCAAUCAGGCGCCCACCUGGAGAACAAUGGAAUACUUUUCAAAAUUUCAAGUUUUUUAAUGAGGCGCCCACGUGGAGAACAAGGGAAUAUUUUGUAAAAUUCAAAUUUUGUAAUUAGGCGCCCACCUGUAGAACAAGGGAAUAUUUUUCAAAUUUUAAGUUUUUGUAUUCAGGCGCCCAGCUAGAGAACAAGAGAAUAUUUUUCAAAAUUUCAAGUUUUGUAAUCAGGCACCCACCUAUAGAACAAGGGAAUAUUUUUAAGUAUUAGCAACCAGGCGCCCACCUAUAGAACAAGGGAAUAUUUAAAGUAUAGCAAUCAGGCGCCCAACUCGAGAACAAGGGAAUAUUUUUCAAAAUUUCAAAUUUUGUAAUCAGGCGCCCACCUGGAGAACAAGGGAAUUAUUUUUUUCAAAAUUCAAGUUUUGUAAUCAGGUGCCCACCUAUAAGACAAGGGAAUGUUUUUCAAAAUUUUAAGUUUUUGUAAUCAGGCGUCCACCUGGAGAACAAGGGAAUAUUUUUCAAACUUUCAAGUUUUGUAUUCAGGAGCCCACCUGUAGAACAAGGGAAUAUUUUUUAAAGUUUUAGCAAUCAGGCGCCCACAUGGAGAACAAGUGAAUAUUUUUCAAAUUUUCAACUUUUUGCAAUCACGCACCCACUUGGAGAACAAGGGAAUAUUUUUCAAAAUUUUAAGUUUUUGCAAUCAGGCACCCACCUGUAGAACAAGGGAAUAUGUUUCAAAAUUUUAUGUUUUUGCAAUCAGGCACCCACCUGUAGAACAAGGGAAUAUUCUUCAAAAUUAUAAGUUUUUGACAGUCAGGCACCACCUGUAGAAUAAGGGAUUAUUUUUCAAAAAUUCAAGUCUCGGUAAUCAGGCGUCCACCUGUAAAAUAAGGGAAUAUUUUUCAAAUUUUAAGUUUUUAACAAUCAGGCGCCCUCCUGUAGAACAAGGGAAUAUCUUUUAAAUUUCAAGUUUUGAUAAUCAGGCAUCCACCCGGAGAAAGGGAAAACAUCUCAGAUUACAAUUCAAAUGAGCAACAAGAGAAGCUCGUGGCAAGAAUGCGAGUCAACAGUCCGAGGUAAUAAAGAAAAGCUAGUCACAAAUAAAAAAAAAGAAAAAAGGAAGGCAAUCAGGAAGUUAAUCCAAAUUAAAGCAGAUGAAAGAUGUCAAUUUCUCAAGGCAUGGUUGAGGUCGCAAGCGAUACAUGUUCGGUCCUAAUCGAGAAAAGAUGAAGAAGAACGAGCUAGUGACUGCACAUAACAAGCGUCAAGGUUGAAAUCUCAAGUCGGAAUGAAGAACCACUCAAGACUCAAGAUCAAGCUUCAGAAGACUUAUAGAUAGGAACNNNNNNNNNNNNNNNNNNNNNNNNNNNNNNNNNNNNNNNNNNNNNNNNNNNNNNNNNNNNNNNNNNNNNNNNNNNNNNNNNNNNNNNNNNNNNNNNNNNNNNNNNNNNNNNNNNNNNAAGACUUAUAGAUGGGAACCUUGUAACUCGUAGUUGACAAUUUUAGCUAGUCUUUUUCAUUCUUUUGAUUUUGAUGUAAUAACAUGACCGCUGACCGGAAUCUCGGCGGAACGGCACCUCGGCCGGAUCUUCAUCUCGGCAUGCUCCUUCAUCUCGCUCACUCCUGAACUACACUGACCUGAUUCCUCUUUAGCCGAGGAUAUGUAGAUAACCUCUGAAGCAGGCUGUGGUCAAAUCUUUUCAAAAUGCUUCCCAUGAAGUAUUCAAACGGUCAAAAAUCGCUCGUAUUUGCUCACUUAUCUUUGCACGAAAACUCUUCGUGUUUUCGCGCAAAGAGGGGCAGCUGUGACCAUGUGACUUUUGCCAUACAUGAAAAUAACUCCUAAAAAUACACCAAUAUAAUUUUUUAUUAAUUUUAGAAAAUUUUCUUUAUUUAGUUGCAUUUCAUACAUUUUAAAUAUUUUUAAAAUCAUAGAAAAGCCAUAAAAGUGUCACAUUUUUAAUUUUAUAUCACAUUAGGUUCAAUUUGCAUUUAGAAAUUAAUUACAUUGAGUUAAUUGUAUUAUUAAUCAAAAAUCACAAAAAAUAUUAUUUUUUACAUAGUUAGGUAAUUAGCUUAAUUUUACAAUUUGAAUUGAUUUAGAAAUUUAGCUUAGGUUUUUAAUUAAUUAAAACAAAAAAAGGAAAGAAAUUGAAAAGCAAAUUCGGAAUUGGGUCAUGUAAUAAGUGAUCCAAAAUUUUUCAAUACCCAUUCUUCAUUUAAACCCAACCCAACCAAAAACCGAGUCGACCCAACCCGACCCAAUUCCCAAAUCCACCCUAACCUAAAACAUAUACACACAAUACACGCCCAAAAGAAAAUUCUGGAGAGAGGAGAGGCCUGAAGCGCAGCCUUGCCUUCCUCUUUAACAAACACACGCAAUACACAUUACCAUAUAGAAGCAUAUACACACGAUAGAGAAGAGGGGGAAAACAAAACACAUAUACAUGAGAAGGGAGCUGAGCUUCUUGAGGAGAAUACACUACAGAGAGACACACAUAGAGACGCUGGGAGAAAGGGUCUGCGCAGCUGGCGGCUGCUUCUUCACAAAAACACACACCUAUACAUACAAUACACGCACAUAAACACAGAGAAAUUAGAGAGGCGUCUGGGAAAAAUUGAGCGCAGCUGAUAGCUUUUACCAGAGAUCCCACCCUCACGAUCUCUUUUCUUCUUCGAUCAGAACGAGCCCUACUUUGGAUCUCAUUUGCAAAUAUGGUUUACUGCACCAGCUUCGUUUCUUCAUUCAAGUUUGUGAGAUCGUCGUUCGAGUUUAUAUUAGCGGAGUUUCGAGGUUCCGAUUUGAGAUCCUUGUUCGAUCUGAGAUCCUUGUUGAUUCGAACCAAUCUCACAACCUAAAUAUUCAGCAAGAAAGGUUUUUCCUCCAUCUAAAUACUCCAGAUGCAGUAUUAUGUUUGUUCCAGUGAUUUUAUUCAAAUUGAAUGCCCGUUUGUUCUUUUUUUAUUUAGCCUCUUUGAUGUUUUUCCUUGUUUUGAAUAAUUUGUUCAUUUGCACUUUAUUUUUGAGUGCUUAAACUACGAAUUUUGCCGAACUUUUCAGUAGAUUUGAUUUCCUACAUGAAUUUUUGCUCAUGGUUGAUUGGUUCUAAGUUAAAAAAAUGGAGUGAAUUAGCUUUUUCUCUGUCCAUACUUAGUUUCAUGUUAUGUUUAAUAUCAUUAUGAUUUAGCAUGUUAUAAUUUAUGUAAUAUUUUACUGUGAGUUAAUAAAUGAAUUGAUGAAACACUAGAUUUUGUUUGAAUUGGAGUGAAUUAAGUUUGUUUGGUAAGGACUUUCAGUAGGUUUGAAAUUGGCGUGAUUUUGGAUUUAGAUUAGAAUAUUUGUGUCUUAUUAGAUGGGGUUCGCACUUUUCAGUGCAUGAAUUUAGCAAUUUACUUCAGGCCCGUAACAUAAGCGUCAUAAUCAUAGAUAUGAUUCUCGUGAUGUAGUUGUGAUACUAAGCUUUAAAUUAGCUUUAAAUAUAUAUAUCCGUAGUUCUUAGUUGAGUUCUUUUCCUUUAAUAGAAUUUGAGGUGUGUCAUUUAGCGAAUUCUAUGGCCUCGCAAACUUGCAAACGCAUAUUCAUUUUAGGCACGCUAGUUAAAGAAUUCACUUUCCUAAAUACAGGUGCACAUUUAUGUGACACAAAUCCAAAUUUCAACGAAGUUGGAAUGUGUCAAAAUCCACGGGUUCAUUUAUGUGACGUGGCUCGAGACAUGUUUUAACAACGUUGCAAUUUUUUUUUAAAUAAUGAUAAAAGCGGUUUAAGGUU